UACGGAGGGUGCAAGCGUUGUCCGGAAUCACUGGGUGUAAAGCGCGUGUAGGCGGCCUGUCAAGUCUGCUGUGAAAGCGCCUGGCUUAACCGGGCGAGGUCGGUGGAAACUGGCGGGCUGGAGGACGGUAGAGGGGGGUGGAAUUCCCGGUGUAGUGGUGAAAUGCGUAGAGAUCGGGAGGAACACCAGUGGCGAAGGCGGCCCCCCUGGGCCGUUCCUGACGCUGAGACGCGAAGGCGCGGGAGCGAAGCGGG
rnacentral:rRNA from 1 species